CGCCCUAAUAAGCUAAAUGACCAGCGAUUAA
rnacentral:tRNA from 1 species